AGCAGCCGCGGUAAUUCCAGCUCCAAUAGCGUAUAUUAAAGUUGUUGCAGUUAAAAAGCUCGUAGUUGAACUUCAGGCCUGGCUGGAUGGUCCGCCUUCUGGGUGAGUACUGUCUGUGGUCGGGUCCUACCUUCUGGCGAAGCGUCAUGGCCUUCACCGGCCGUGGCGGGGAGCCAGGACUUUUACUGUGAAAAAUUAGAGUGUUCAAAGCAGGCACGCGCUUGAAUACAUUAGCAUGGAAUAAUGGAAUAGGACAGUGGUUCUAUUUGUUGGUUUCUAGGACCGUUGUAAUGAUUAAUAGGGAUAGUUGGGGGCAUUAGUAUUCAAUUGUCAGAGGUGAAAUUCUUGGAUUUAUUGAAGACUAACUACUGCGAAAGCAUUUGCCAAGGAUGUUUUCAUUAAUCAAGAACGAAAGUUAGGGGAUCGAAGACGAUCAGAUACCGUCGUAGUCUUAACCAUAAACUAUGCCGACUAGGAAUCGGGCGAUGUUGACAAAAUGACGCGCUCGG
rnacentral:rRNA from 1 species